UAAAUGUAUCUUACGGUGUUAACUCUCAAGAUGUUGAGAACCCUAAUUUCUUCUACAUGCUACCACCUGCCGCCAAACCACAUAUAUCCCGUCUCUUUCUCUUUGCCCUUUCAUGUCUCCGACAACCCUCUGUUACCAACUUACCAACAACUUCUUGAUGCCACCAUUACAAACUCCGAUCACUUCUCUAUUAUAUGUCAUUAGUAACCUAAACACUACCUUCUACACAACCAUUGCUACCACAAAGAUCUCCGCCUGCUUGCGCUUUCUUAUUUUCUUAUCUAAACGACAUCAAAUGUCCUUCUUUGUCGACGCAACGACCUCCACCAUGAGGCUUCCAAACCGGGGUUUUAACGAAAUAUGAUUCCUAAAAAGAGGUGAUAUUCAGUAGUUAUGUUAUCAAAGGUUGCUAUUAUGGUGAAUUUCUGGUAGCUGUUAUGGUUUUGUUGCUACUUAGUUAUGGAAGAUGCCUUAUGUGGUUGAUUAACUUAAUUAAUUGUGCAAUUAGGUCUAGAUACAGAUCUUGAAUAAGCAGAGCUUCUUAAAAUCUUUCUCAUCCAAACAUUGUUGCAGGUGACAUUUCACUUGUGGAAUCCUCCUGCAAAAGGAAAGAGGCCCGCAUAAAAUCAACAAUCAAUUUUCAAUGUAAUCCCAAUAAAUCAAAAACUAUCAUAUUUCAAAUUCGAAUCGAUAGCGUACGUCAGUCGACUUCAUAUACCUCAAUCACCAUCCAUUUCAAGAUUAUUCCAUUGUUGAUUCAUCUCUCCCCUUUCCAAUUUCUGAGUUAUCGGCCUUCAUUUAGUCAAUAUAAACAGAUGACAUCAAGAUUUCACAAUCGGUUUCAAUCGAUCUUUUCGUCACCUCGCCUGUUAAUGUCUAUCGGCGGAAGAUGGCGACGUCGGCCAUUGUUUCCUUUUCUCAUUCUAAUCCCGCUCAAUCAACCAAAUAUGCUAUUUAUUAUCUAAGGCAACUGUGUCCGAUAAACGCAGCCAUCCAAAGGGAUAAAUAUGUUAUACAGCUAGAAUGGAAAAAAGAGUAAAGGUGGAAGAAUCGUAGAUGGGUUAUUGGGCUAAAAAUGUAGCGAUUGUCGAUUAUUUAUGUCGUAGGAAAACUCCUUGAUUUCCUUUUCAAAUGUGAUUGUCUAAAAUUUUUAUAUAUAAGAGACAUGCGUUCCAACACAAACAGUUUAAAAUCCGCUAGAAGUUAAUAUAGUGGAAUUAAUGAGGAAUUGUUCCAUA